rnacentral:lncRNA from 1 species
CUGCCCCGUUGAAGGGUGAGUAUCGUGUUCGUGAUGUAGUCAGCUAAACCCGUAUAUACUAUUUGUCUAGUGUACAGCUUUUAGGUUUGUAGGCUAGUUUUAUAUUUUAAUUGCACGUGAUGUUUUUGACUCACCUGAAACACAGUUUGUAAAAAAUAGUACAGUACACAAUCUCCUACAAAAAGUUGUCCUUUCCAUUUUCAACAUGCUAUAUUCCAACAGGUCCGUGUGAAAACAGUAAUCCAGUGGAGGAAGAAGUGAAAAGUGACUCGGGUCUCGGCCAGCUACAGUCUGUCAGUGCUUCAACCUGCUGCCGAAAAAAGAAGAACAAGACGCGUGUAACGUGCAAAUAAGGAGGGGUGCGUCACUUGAGUGGGUUGAGUCACUGACGUGGUCUUCCUGUCUGGGUUGGCGACCCCCCCUUGGGUUGUGCCGUGGCGGAGAUCUUUGUGGGCUAUACUCGGCCUUGUCUCAGGAUGGACCUGAGCCCUAGGACCAUGCCCCAGGACUACCUGGCAUGAUGACUCCUUGCUGUCCCCAGUCCACCUGGCCAUGCUGCUGCUCCAGUUUCAACUGUUCUGCCUGCGGCUAUGGAACCCUGACCUGUUCACCGGACGUGCUACCUGUCCCAGACCUGCUGUUUUCAACUCUCUAGAGACAGCUCUUAUUUGACCAUGCUGGUCAUUUAUGAACAUUUGAACAUCUUGGCCAUGUUCUGUUAUAAUCUCUACCCGGUACAGCCAGAAGAGGACUGGCCACCCCUCAUAGCCUGGUUCCUCUCUAGGUUUCUUCCUGGGUUUUGGCCUUUCUAGGGAGUUUUUCCUAGCCACCGUGCUUCUACACCUGCAUUACUUGCUGUUUGGGGUUUUAGGCUGGGUUUCUGUACAGCACUUAUAUCAGCUGAUGUAAGAAGGGCUAUAUAAAUGCAUUUGAUUUGAUUUGAUUAGAAAAGAGAGGGACUGAGUUCAUUCACAACACACUGUAGAAAGGAGAGGGACUGAGUUCAUUCACAACACACUGUAGAAAGGAGAGGGACUGAGUUCAUUCAGACACUGUCUGCUAUCCGCCCGGUACAAUUUAAACCGGGAUUGAUCUAUGAAGAAUCACACUUCUCCAGCGUGCCAGUGGCCACCGAAGGUGAACAUUUGCCCACUGAAGUCGGUUACGACGCCGAACGGCAGUCAGGUCAAGAUCCUGGUGAGGACGACGAGCACGCAGAUGUGCUUGUUGACCAGUAAGGGUUAUUAAGAAGGUAGGGGCAGAUAUUGUUGAGCGGUUGUCAUACCGCUGAUAAUAAAAGUUGAUCAGGUGACCUGAAACACCUUGGAAAACCCUGGUCUAGAGGAGGAUGAUCUGGCCAAUCAGCGGUCUACUCUCAUGAAUAUUUUGAACGACUGGUAUACGCCCACAACAUUCCAACACAUAAAAUCUGCUUUUUAACAUACAAUAAAAGUUAAAUGGUAAUUAAGUAAUUAAUUAUAGGUAAUAUUUCAUAGAAAUCUGGAAACACUGGACAGUAGCUUCGGGGUGGCAGGUAGCCUAGCGGUUAGCGCGUUGGGCCAGUAACCAAAAGGUUGCAAGAUCAAAUCCCUGAGCUGACAAGGUAAAAAUCUGUUGUUCUGCCCCUGAACAAGUCAGUUAACCCACGGUUCCUAGGCUGUCAUUGUAAAUAAGAACUGGUUCUUAACAGACUUGCCUAGUUAAAUAAAGGUCAAAUAAAAAUACAUCUGAAUGGAAUGACAGCAAGAAUAAGACAACCCCUGAAGGUGACAAGUCAAACCUCAAUGAUGAGAUCAGAGGAUUUAACAAACUGAAGUCAACUGAGGACAUUCAGUUGUUUUCUUUCUCAAUUUCCACCCUUGUCUCCCACAGUCAUCUGCCCCCUUGUGGCCGGCUUGGGAACAGCUUGGAUCUUCUUGUCCCAUGAGUGACCUUUGAGCGCUGCUGGACUUCCAGCACAAGAACUUCACAUGUCCACUUGAUGAGGACUCAGUUAACUGGAGCCUUUACCCAUGAUAUAAACCACAGAGCCAGUCUAAAACCCAUGAUAUAAACCACAGAGCCAGUCUAAAACCCAUGAUGCAAUAGAGAACAAUAAAAUAAACACCUAUUAAACACAUCUCUGUCCA